rnacentral:lncRNA from 1 species
CCCCUAACUGACCAAAAAGGUGUAGGGCUACGAACUCUUACUUUCUAGGAUGCAACUCCAAGAUUAAUUCUCGUCUUAAUCAACUAUCAACAAACUGUCUUGAGCCUGAAAAAUAGAUAGGAAGAGGGGUGAGAUUACAUAAUCUCAGUGAGUAAACAAUUACCAUCAAAAGCAUCUAAAGCCGAGUAGAUGGAGACAAUAUAAAAACGUUAUAUCUCAAUAAUGUUCAUUACGCAAAAUUCGUUUCAAUCUAUACCAAACAAUUUCUUUUCAUCAAAAUUUCCUGGUUUAUGAAUUUCUUAAUCUUGGCUCCUGCUAGAAUCCUUCUCGCAGGUACCUUCGUCAAGGUAUCCCACUGAGACCGCCAAGGCUGUUAAAUGUCCCAUACCCAUAAACAUGUUUUCACAUCUGACACACAGCCGUUCCUUGGCGUUGGCUGAGUCUCACUCUCACGUGGUGGCCCGAACGUGAGGUGCACUCAAAUCUUACCUUAGGAGAUAUAUCAUCCAACAUCUCCCCCCGAAGGUAGGUAUAUAAUUGGGUUACCGUGCCCCUUUCAUAGGCAGUCCACAGAAACCCCCACCACUGCAAUGACUGUUUAAUAUACCACCAGACCCAUAAAAUUUUUAGUAGCAUAAUAUGGCGAAUAAAAUGUAAUCCAAUCUACCGAGACCAAUCUAAAACUGUUCAUAUAUUUCAUGCCAACCCCAAAAAUUUAGCCAUCAUGCUACCAUUGUGUCAUAAGCCACAAUUUCAAUAACAUAUAAAAUCAUAAAUUCAACAUAGUCUCCAUAUACUCAAUUUUCCAAAAACAAUAUUUGAUUUCAAAACUAAUAUAAAUCUCAUUUUUUUUAUUAAAAAAUAUUUUAAUUGGAAAACAUAAUAUUUUAUAAUUUAAACUCACCAUUUAAUAAAAGCAUCAAACAAGUAUAAUUACUCUAGAUAUUUAAGACGAUAAAUUGUCCACUCACAGUAUUAGGAGUAGAAAUACUCUUAUUUUCAGUCCGCGGAUACAGUCCUUUACUUGUAUCCAAUGGCUCACCACCUAGCCAUAAUCCAUGACACAUAUUUCAAUUAAAUUGUGUCUAACAGUCAUAAGCUAUUUUAGGCUCGAUAUGUAUAUGCAUGAUAUGAAAUGAAAAAUGCACGAGUAGCCAUCUAGACCCGGUAUUGGCCUAAGUCGAUUUUACAUCCGAUAAAUUGGCCAAUGCAUCCAAUUUCACUCCAACUUGCUCCAUUUCUUUUCCAAUCCCUCAAUUCACCAAAGACUAUUAAUUCUUAAUCACAUCACCUAGAAUAACAUCCCAUUCUUCCUCAUUAUUCACUUAGAGAAUUCGGCUAUUGAUGGGACCAAACCUUUGGUGGUUUUUUUCACUUGUUUUCAUGCUACACAUCAUUAAUCACUUAAAAACACUAACAUACGUAAAAAUCAAACUAAUCCAAGAUCAUUCUCUCUCCAUACCCAUUUUGACCAGCCAUGAAUUCACUAUGAAAGCAUGCUUUUCAAGCAUGGAAAUUAAGGAAAAAUGCAUGCGUAAGGUAAAUCACUAGCAAAAUCAAAGAAAUUUUACCUUUGCUUGAUCAAAUCCUUGAAUUCCAAUACUUUCUCUUUGAUUUUUCCCACCUAGGGUUUGUUCUUCCGUGGUUUCUCUUCUCUUCUGGUUUGG